rnacentral:rRNA from 1 species
UGGGGGAUAUUGCACAAUGGGCGAAAGCCUGAUGCAGCGACGCCGCGUGUGGGAUGAAGGCUUUCGGGUUGUAAACCUCUUUCGCUAUCGAACAAGGCCCGCUUAGGGUGGGUUGAGGGUAGGUGGAGAAGAAGCGCCGGCUAACUACGUGCCAGCAGCCGCGGUAAUACGUAGGGCGCGAGCGUUGUCCGGAAUUAUUGGGCGUAAAGGGCUUGUAGGCGGCUUGUUGCGCCUGCUGUGAAAACGCGGGGCUUAACUUCGCGCGUGCAGUGGGUACGGGAAGGCUUGAGUGUGGUAGGGGUGACUGGAAUUCCAGGUGUAGCGGUGGAAUGCGAAGAUAUCUGGUGGAGCACAGAUGGCGAAGGCAGGUCACUGGGCCAUUACUGACGCUGAGGAGCGAAAGCAUGGGUAGCGAACAGG